AUGGCAAUGGCAGUGGCUGCGUCGACCAUGGAGGUCGAUCAGGACCUCCCCGGCUUCCGCUUCCACCCCACGGAGGAGGAGCUCCUGGGAUUCUACCUCUCCCGCGUCGCCCUCGGCAAGAAGCUCCACUUCGACAUCAUCGGGACCCUCAACAUUUACCGCCACGAUCCCUGGGAUCUUCCCGGGAUGGCAAAGAUCGGGGAGAGGGAGUGGUACUUCUUCGUGCCGCGUGACCGGAAGGCGGGGAGCGGCGGGCGGCCGAACCGGACGACGGAGCGGGGUUUCUGGAAGGCGACGGGCUCCGACAGGGCCGUCCGGAGCACGGGUGACCCCAAGCGGGUCAUCGGGCUCAAGAAGACGCUCGUCUUCUACCAGGGCCGCGCUCCCCGGGGCUCCAAGACGGACUGGGUCAUGAACGAGUACCGCCUCCCUGACACCGGCGCGGCGCCGCCCAGUGAGGACACGGUGCUGUGCAAGGUGUACCGGAAGGCCACGCCGCUCAAGGAGCUAGAGCAGAGAGCCUUUGAGAUGGAGGAGAUGAAGCAGAGGCCCCGCGGCAACGGUGGCGCGGCCAGAGCGUGCCCGGUCCCGGCAGCCGGCGAUUUCUACCUGUCGUCAUCCGACGACGCCCGGGACAACUUCCUGAUGCCCUCCUCCUCCUCCUCGUCGGUGGCGCUGUCUGGCAACAGCAGCAGCCACGACGCGCCCAUGGUAGCCAAGAAGGAAGCAGACCUGGCCACGGUGGCCGUGGAGUCGACGUCGUGGCUUCCGCACGCGGCGAACGCGCCCUUCAGUCUGCAGCUCCCGGCCGUGAACCCACCCUGUGGCUUCGAGCUCCCGGCGGCGAACCAUGGGAUGUCGAACAUGUGCAGUCUGCAGCUACCGGCGGCGAGCCAGGGUGUGGUGGACCUACCCAGCCUGCAGCUCCCGGCGGCGACCAACCAUGGAGUCUUCGACUGGCUCCAGGACCCGUUCCUGACGCAGCUCCGCAGCCCGUGGCAGGACCAGCAUUGCCUGUCCCCCUACGCCCAUCUGCUCUACUAUUGA
rnacentral:rRNA from 1 species